UACGGAGGGUGCAAGCGUUGUUCGGAAUUACUGGGCGUAAAGGGCGCGUAGGCGGCCGAUCAAGUCUGAUGUGAAAGCCCGGGGCUCAACCCCGGAAGUGCAUUGGAAACUGGUCGGCUUGAGUUCGGGAGAGGAGGGCAGAAUUCCCGGUGUAGGGGUGAAAUCCGUAGAUAUCGGGAGGAAAACCAGUGGCGAAGGCGGCCCUCUGGAACGUGACUGACGCUGAGGCGCGAAAGCGUGGGGAGCAAACAGG
rnacentral:rRNA from 1 species